GAUGAACGCUAGCGGCAGGCCUAACACAUGCAAGUCGAGGGAGGAGCUUUCGGGCUUCGACCGGCGUACGGGUGCGUAACGCGUAUACAAUCUGCCUUUCACAUAGGGAUAGCCCGAAGAAAUUUGGAUUAAUACCUAAUGGUAUAUAGAGGUGGCAUCACCUUUAUAUUAAAGCUGAGGCGGUGAAAGAUGAGUAUGCGUUCUAUUAGCUAGUUGGAGAGGUAACGGCUCCCCAAGGCGACGAUAGAUAGGGGUUCUGAGAGGGGUAUCCCCCACACUGGUACUGAGAUACGGACCAGACUCCUACGGGAGGCAGCAGUGAGGAAUAUUGGACAAUGGUCGGAAGACUGAUCCAGCCAUGCCGCGUGCAGGAAGACGGCCUUAUGGGUUGUAAACUGCUUUUGCAGGGGAAGAAUAAGGACUACGCGUAGUUUGAUGACGGUACUCUGCGAAUAAGCAUCGGCUAACUCCGUG
rnacentral:rRNA from 1 species